GGCGCCUCGCGCCGCAGCGCACCUGAGGGUGACAGGGCGGCGGGCCCGGGGGCGCUGCCCCGCGGCGAGGGGACGGCAACCGGUUGGGGCUCCCCCGCCGCCCGGGCGCUGCCUGCGGGGGUGGUGCCCGGGAAGCCGCCGGCGAGGCGGCGCGGGGGCUCUGCCCGCCCUGGUUGCGGCGGCGGCCCGGCGCUGAGGGAGCCGCGCUGCCCCCUCGGCUGAGGCGGGCCUGAGGGACGGGUCGAUGGCGGCGGCCCUGGCCCAAGGCCUGGGUCUCGCUCUGGGAAGUAGCUUACUGUGUGUGCUGGCUGAAUUUUCACAAGCUUGCACUGAUUCAUCUCAAGCCAGUGGCAGUGUUGCUCACCCAGGGUCUUCAAGUUGGGGAAAGCAGCUGGGAGAAGUGGCUGAGAAGUGCUGGCCUGGAAGUCAGUGAAGAGCUUGAUGUGGUAGGAGCAUGGCUGCGUGAGCAGAGCUCCUGGUAGAAGCCAGCACCUGGGGUAGGACGUGACACCGUCCAGAUUCACUCAGGGGCAUCCUAAUACUGUUCAGUGUGGUUGCACUACAAAGGUAGGCUUCGUAAUUGAGUGAGGACCAUUUUGCAGAAUCCCACAUUGAAGCUGCCUAGAAGCUAUUUUGAAAUUAUUUUCUAUUAAACAGAUACACCACUGCUAGGAAGUAUUAAUAAUAGUCAUCAAGUUUAUUUAGGGAUUAAAUGAGCUACCUUCUGACAACUGAGAAGUGCUGCGCAAAUGACUGCAAACAGUUUAUAGCUUUACACCAAGUAGAGGGAACCUCUCACUCCCCAGGGUUAGUUAUGCUGUGCCAGCAACCUCAGCCUGAUCUGGAACAAGCCCUGCUUGACUGUAUUUACAUGCAUUUCAACUUUCAUUAGUGACAAUAAUUGUUAUUCCCAUUCCCUGCUUCUGACAGCUUAGAAUAAGAGACUCGGAGGCUGUCUAGCUCCCCAUUGAGUGUAGCUAAAGUACACAGGCAAUUUGGGGCUCACAUUUCAGUUUUGUUACUAUUAAGAACAACAAAACCACCCCCUUUCCCUAAAACAAACAGACCAACCAGCAGAGCCAGUGCUGGUUUAAUGAAGCUUUAUGUAAAACAGCAUUUAAUAUAAAUGAAAAAAGUUGGUUUUCAAAAUAUGAAACACCCUUACUUGCACUAUUGAAGAUUCAUAAACCAAUGUGUUUGGUAGCUUAGGGGGAUUGAAAAGAAUAUAGAAGAAGGAAGAAAAGUAACAGAAGAAGUGAAGAAAAAGUGCAGUGAGGGUGAAUUUGGGCACCUGGCACAGGCCUCAUGACUGCUCGCAUCAAAAGAGAGCUCAUGUGCGGCUUGAGCAGUCCUUGGCCUGUCACGUGGAGGCUGGAAGUAGGGCAGCAUUUCACCUUUUGUACCUCAGCAAUUUGGAGGUGUUUCAUCUGCCUGAUCUUGGAUGCCUUUUGGGACAUACAUGCAAUUCUUUCAAAUGCAGCACCAGUAAGGAGACCUUUUCUGCUCGAGGUCAAAGAAAGCUUUACAAAGAAAACGUAUAGAAAGAGGAAAAAACAAAGCAGCAUUAGUGGAAAUGAAAUGCCUGGGAGCAAGGACUGAGGCAACCUUGAGCACUGCUGAGACGGAGAAGAAAAUGGUUUGCCUGAAUUGAUU